GAUGAACGCUGACAGAAUGCUUAACACAUGCAAGUCUUUGGCGAAUCUGUGCUUGCACCGGUUAGCCAAGGCGGACGGGUGAGUAACGCGUCAAGAACUUGCCCUACCUACAGGAAUGACAGACGUAAACGACUGAUAACACCUGAUACAAUUACCUGCGCGCAUGUACCUGGCAAUGAAAAGAGAUGCUGCAGGAGAGGUUUGCGUCCGAUUAGCUUGUUGGUUAGGUGCCGGCUCAACAAGGCGAUGAUAGGGAGCCGGCCUGAGAGGGUGAACGGUCAAAAGGGGACUGGGAUACGGCCCUUACUAAUACGGCAGGAAGCAGUGGGGAAUAUUGGAGCGUGGGGGCAACAGUGAUGCAGCAAUUCUGUGUGCACGAAUAAGGUUUUCGGAUUGUAAAGUGCUUUAAGUAGCGAAGAAGAAAGUGACGGUACCUGCAGAAGAAGCGACGGCUAAAUACGUG
rnacentral:rRNA from 1 species